rnacentral:rRNA from 1 species
AUUGAACGCUGGCGGCAUGCUUUACACAUGCAAGUCGAACGGUAACAGGGUGCUUGCACCGCUGACGAGUGGCGAACGGGUGAGUAACGCGUCGGAACGUGCCGAGUAGUGGGGGAUAACGCAGCGAAAGUUGUGCUAAUACCGCAUACGUACUGAGGUAGAAAGUGGGGGACCUUCGGGCCUCACGCUAUUCGAGCGGCCGACGUCUGAUUAGCUAGUAGGUGAGGUAAAGGCUCACCUAGGCGACGAUCAGUAGCGGGUCUGAGAGGAUGAUCCGCCACACUGGGACUGAGACACGGCCCAGACUCCUACGGGAGGCAGCAGUGGGGAAUUUUGGACAAUGGGCGAAAGCCUGAUCCAGCCAUGCCGCGUGUCUGAAGAAGGCCUUCGGGUUGUAAAGGACUUUUGUCAGGGAGGAAAUCCCUAGUGCUAAUGACACUGGGGGAUGACAGUACCUGAAGAAUAAGCACCGGCUAACUACGUGCCAGCCGCCGCAGUAA